rnacentral:rRNA from 1 species
AAUCGAACCCGGAGAUAGCUGGUUCUCUCCGAAAUAGCUUUAGGGCUAGCCUCAAUUAACAUUACCGCAGGUAAAGCACUGAAUGAGCUAGGGGGCGAAAGCUUACUGAACUCUAUCAAACUCAGAAUGGCGGAUAAUGAAUGAUUGGGAGUCACACUACGUGAGAUAAGUUUCGUGGUGGAAAGGGAAACAGCCCAGACCCACAGCUAAGGUCCCAAAGUACAGUUAAGUGGAAAAGGAUGUGAAAUUGCGCAGACAACCAGGAUGUUGGCUCAGAAGCAGCCACUCAUUCAAAGAGUGCGUAAUAGCUCACUGGUCGAGUGAUUUUGCGCCGAAAAUUUAACGGGGCUAAACUGUACACCGAAGCUUGGGAAUAUACAUUUGUAUGUUGGUAGGAGAGCGUUGUGUAAGGGGUGAAGUCGUAGCGAAAGCGGCGGUGGACUUUACACAAGUGAGAAUGCCGGAAUGAGUAGCGAGAAUUAUGUGAGAAUCAUAAUGGCCGAAAGACUAAGGUUUUAGAAGGAAGGUUCGUCCGCUUCUAGUUAGCCGGGAGCUAAGGCGAGGCCGAGAGGCGUAGUCGAUGCACAUACGGUUGAGAUUCCGUAGCUACCUUGCAUUUAAGCGAAGGGACACAUUUGAAGGGCAUGACCCGGGCGUUGGUUGACCCGGGCGUAAGGGACCGAAAAUAAGUAGGGAAGCAUGCUUGGAUGGUGGCGAGAAAAGCUUCGUGUAUAUAAGCAGGGUACCCGUACUGCAAACCGACACAGGUAGUCAGGAAGAGGAUUCUAAGGCCAUCGGGAGAAGCGUUGUUAAGGAACUCGGCAAAUUGACCCCGUAACUUCGGAAUAAGGGGUGCUCACGCGAGUGAGCCGCAGUGAAUAGGUCCAGGCAACUGUUUAUCAAAAACACAGCUCUCUGCUAAAUCGUAAGAUGACGUAUAGGGGGUGACACCUGCCCGGUGCUGGAAGGUUAAGAGGAGGGGUGCAAGCUCCGAAUUGAAGCCCCAGUAAACGGCGGCCGUAACUAUAACGGUCCUAAGGUAGCGAAAUUCCUUGUCGGGUAAGUUCCGACCCGCACGAAUGGUGUAACGAUCUGGGCACUGUCUCAACUACCCACCCGGCGAAAUUGUAGUACCGGUGAAGAUGCCGGUUACCCGCGGCAAGACGGAAAGACCCCAUGGAGCUUCACUGUAGCCUGAUAUUGGGUCUCGGUAUUUUAUGUACAGGAUAGGCGGGAGACUUGGAAACCAGCACGCCAGUGUUGGCGGAGUCACCCUUGGGAUACCGCUCUUAAAGUAUUGAGAUUCUAACCUGCAGCCAUGAAUCUGGCUGGGGGACAUUGUCAGGUGGGCAGUUUGACUGGGGCGGUCGCCUCCAAAAGAGUAACGGAGGCGCUCAAAGGUUCGCUCAGCAUGGACGGAAACCAUGCCAAAGAGUGCAAACGCAAAAGCGAGCCUAACUGCGAGACUGACGGGUCGAGCAGUAACGAAAGUUGGAGUUAGUGAUCCGGCGGUAUGUGAAUGGAAAUGCCGUCGCUCAACGGAUAAAAGCUACCCUGGGGAUAACAGGCUGAUCUCCCCCAAGAGUCCACAUCGACGGGGAGGUUUGGCACCUCGAUGUCGGCUCAUCGCAUCCUGGGGCUGAAUUCGGUCCCAAGGGUUUGGCUGUUCGCCAAUUAAAGCGGUACGCGAGCUGGGUUCAGAACGUCGUGAGACAGUUCGGUCCCUAUCUGUCGUGGGCGUAGGAUAUUUGAAAGGAGCUGUCCCUAGUACGAGAGGACCGGGAUGGACGCACCUCUGGUGAACCAGUUGUCACGCCAGUGGCACGGCUGGGCAGCUAAGUGCGGAACGGAUAAACGCUGAAAGCAUCUAAGCGUGAAGCCGACCUUAAGAUAAGAUAUCCGUUCUUCGGAAUAAGACCCCUUGUAGACUACGAGGUUGAUAGGCUUAAAGUGUAAGCAUGGUGACAUGUUUAGCUUGCAAGUACUAAUCGGUCGAUUGCUUUUCCU